rnacentral:rRNA from 1 species
AUUGAACGCUGGCGGCAUGCUUUACACAUGCAAGUCGAACGGCAGCGCGGGCUUCGGCCUGGCGGCGAGUGGCGAACGGGUGAGUAAUGCAUCGGAACGUGCCCAGUAGUGGGGGAUAGCCCGGCGAAAGCCGGAUUAAUACCGCAUACGACCUGAGGGUGAAAGCGGGGGACCGAAAGGCCUCGCGCUAUUGGAGCGGCCGAUGUCGGAUUAGCUAGUUGGUGGGGUAAAGGCUUACCAAGGCGACGAUCCGUAGCUGGUCUGAGAGGACGACCAGCCACACUGGGACUGAGACACGGCCCAGACUCCUACGGGAGGCAGCAGUGGGGAAUUUUGGACAAUGGGGGCAACCCUGAUCCAGCCAUGCCGCGUGCGGGAAGAAGGCCUUCGGGUUGUAAACCGCUUUUGCUCGGGAAGAAAUCCUCUGGGCUAAUACCCCGGGGGGAUGUCGGUACCGGAAGAAUAAGCACCGGCUAACUACGUG